CCUACGGGAGGCAGCAGCCGCGGUAAUACGUAGGGGGCAAGCGCUAUCCGGAUUUACUGGGUGUAAAGGGAGCGUAGACGGCGAUGCAAGUCUGAAGUGAAAGGCGGGGGCCCAACCCCUGGACUGCUUUGGAAACUGUAUGGCUGGAGUGCAGGAGAGGUAAGUGGAAUUCCUAGUGUAGCGGUGAAAUGCGUAGAUAUUAGGAGGAACACCAGUGGCGAAGGCGGCUUACUGGACUGUAACUGACGUUGAGGCUCGAAAGCGUGGGGAGGAAACAGGAUUAGAAACCCGUGGAGUCCCCUCAG
rnacentral:rRNA from 1 species